rnacentral:rRNA from 1 species
CCUACGGGGCGCAGCAGUGGGGAAUAUUGGACAAUGGGCGAAAGCCUGAUCCAGCCAUGCCGCGUGUGUGAAGAAGGCCUUCGGGUUGUAAAGCACUUUCAGUGGGGAAGAAAGCCUUGGGGCUAAUACCCUCGAGGAAGGACAUCACCCACAGAAGAAGCACCGGCUAACUCCGUGCCAGCAGCCGCGGUAAUACGGAGGGUGCGAGCGUUAAUCGGAAUUACUGGGCGUAAAGCGCGCGUAGGCGGUCUGAUAAGCCGGUUGUGAAAGCCCCGGGCUCAACCUGGGAACGGCAUCCGGAACUGUCAGGCUAGAGUGCAGGAGAGGAAGGUAGAAUUCCCGGUGUAGCGGUGAAAUGCGUAGAGAUCGGGAGGAAUACCAGCGGCGAAGGCGGCCUUCUGGACUGACACUGACGCUGAGGUGCGAAAGCGUGGGUAGCAAACAGGAUUAGAUACCCUAGUAGUC